UACAGAGGGGGCAAGCGUUAUUCGGAAUUAUUGGGCGUAAAGGGCGCGUAGGCGGCCUGGCAAGUGGAAGGUGAAAUCCCUCGGCUUAACCGAGGAACUGCCUCCCAAACUGCUUGGCUUGAGACCGGGAGAGGUGAGUUGAAUUCCCAGUGUAGCGGUGAAAUGCGUAGAUAUUGGGAGGAACACCAGUGGCGAAGGCGGCUCACUGGACCGGUACUGACGCUGAUGUGCGAAAGCGUGGGGAGCAAACAGG
rnacentral:rRNA from 1 species